ACCCACCCGCGUCAAUCGCGGCCCCCCUUCUCCUUCCCCGCCGCACGCCUUGCGACGCCGCCUCCCCUGACGCCCCCUCCUCCCUCGCGACGCCCCCUCCCCGCGGCGCCCUCCGCCCCAACUCAUGGCCCUUGCGGUGCCGGCUCGGGGCCCUCGACCCCGACGCUCGGCGCCGAUGCACGGCCCUCGGGAGGCCGCCCCGCCGCGACGCCCGGCCCUUGGCCUUCCCCGCUCCGCCGUGACGCGUGACACCUGGGGCGCCGGCUCGGGGCCACGCGCCGGUCCGCCCCAAGGCCGACCCGCCCGAGGAGGAGCUCAGGAGAGGGCAGGCGCUGCUGCCAGGCUCGGCGCCGAGCAGCCGGCCAGGCUCCCGCACGCACCACCGGAGCUCGCCCGCGCAGCGCUCCCCUGCAUGUCUGGCGGAGUGUGCCCAUGUGCGGCGGCAUACCUCGCACGCGCCACGGCGGCGCUCCCCUCCACCUCAAUACUCCGCGCCUCCUCUUAUUGCUCUCCGUUCUCUAUGUCGGCACCCCUACCUCCUUCUGCCUCCAUCCACUGACGAUUGUGUUGACAGGUCUCCUACAGUCCUACUCCGCCGGCCGCCAGCCGGAUCGAGGCUGCAUUGCCCGGAAUCGACACGCCGCCGCUCAAUUCGAGCUCUCCUCCGUGGAGUCGGAGGACCCGUGGAACGGUGGAAGCUCUAACCUGACUUCAGGGAGCUGGAGAUAAGAAGGCAAUUGAAGAGAGAGCUGAGCAGUUGAGAUCAGCGAUUGAGCAAAGCACUUCUGACUUUGAUAAGGAAAAGCUACAAGAGCGGUUGGCAAAGUUUUCUUGUGGUGUUGCUGUUCUAAAGGUGAAAAAUUAUCAUCCAUGUCAAAUGAUGUAACUCCAAAAUUUUGAUGGUAAUAUUAAACUGAUCAAAUCUAGAUUACUGGAAUAGUAUUCAACUCACAGAUUAGGUAGUGUGUCAAUUAGCAUACAUGUAUGUUGUAUUUAGGUACUUGGCUGGUAUAGUACUCAUAAGAAAAUUAGCAUGACAUUUUUUUUAUCGAUGAAUGCCCUGAGUUAGUGAGAACAUUAUUGCCUAAUCACCUGGCUGUGUCCCCUUCGUAUAUAAGCAUUAAGGAAAAAGGUUAGUCAUGUUAGGCAAGUGAAACAGAAGUUGGUGAGAAGGAUGAUAGGGUGAACGAUGCACUAAAUGCAACCAAAGCUGCAGUUGAGGAGGGCAUUGUGCCAGGUGGUGGUGUUGCCUUCUGCACGCAUCAAAAGACCUGAAUAAAUUGCAAACUGCAAACUUUGACCAAAAGAUUGGUGUUCAAGUCAUCCAAAAUGCUUUGAAGGUUUUAGAUGAUCCUCUCUUGUGAAUGGAGGAUUUUGCAAGCCCCAGUGCAGACUAUUGCUUCAAAUGCAGGCGUAGAAGGAGCUGUUAUUGCUGGCAAGCUUUUGGAACAGGAAAACACUGAUCUUGGCUAUGACGCAGCUAAAGCUAGGGUGCAUAGUUGACCUUGACCCUUAAGGGCUCAGGUUAAAUUAUGUUUCAAACUUCUGGUUAUGCAAACUGUCUUCCAACAUAGGUGAAUAUGUGGACAUGGUGAGGGCUGGUAUCAUUGACCAGCUUAAAGUGAUCAGGACAGCCCUGAUGGAUGCUGCAAGUGUGUCAUCUCUGAUGACUACCACAUUCUAUCAUCGUUGAGACCCCGAAGGAAGAGAGUGCUGCACCAGCAAUGGAAUACUGACAUGCCAAAGAAAUGUGAUUAAGUGAAAUAUUAGUAGUAGAUUCAUCACUCUGUCUGAUGAGGACGUCUAGAUUUUGAUCCUCCUGCAAAAGAGGAUAUAUAAACUUUAGGUAGUGUUGGAAAUUGGGAUGAACAGAACCCUCUUCUACACGUCACUGAGUUAAAUUUUUGGAUCGAAUGGCGGUUGGUCUUAACUGGACGGUUUUGUAACUUCUCCAUAGAAGUUAACUUGGUUUUUUGUAACAUAUUUUAUAUCCACAAAAGCUAAUAGCAGAUAUGACUACCAAUACAUUUUUUUUU